rnacentral:rRNA from 1 species
CGUGUAGGCGGCUUGGUAAGUCGAGUGUGAAAUCCCUGGGCUCAACCCCGGAACUGCGCUCGAAACUGCCUCGCUCGAGUCCCGGAGGGGAAGGCGGAAUUCCCGGUGUAGAGGUGAAAUUCGUAGAUAUCGGGAGGAACACCAGCGGCGAAGGCGGCCUUCUGGACGGUGACUGACGCUGAGACGCGAAAGCGUGGGGAGCAAACA